UUUAUCAAAAACAUGGCUAUUAGAAGGUGUUUAUAGUNUAGCCUGCUCACUGACANGAUGUUGUUUAAGAGCCGCGGUAUUCUGACCGUGCNAAGGUAGCAUAAUCAUUAGUUUUUUAAUNGGGAACUCGUAUGAAUGGUUGGACAAAAGAAAAACUGUCUCUAUUUUAGAAAUUGAAAUUAACUUUUAAGUGAAAAGGCUUAAAUAAUUCAAUGGGACGAUAAGACCCUAUAAAGCUUUAUAUUAUAUUUAAAUUUGAUUGAAUUAUCAUAAGUAUAAAUAUUUAAUUUAAAUUAUGUAUUUUGUUGGGGCGACAUAUAUAUAAAUAAAUUUAACUGUAUAGGUAGAUAAUCAUUAAUAGAUGAAUGAAAAUAAUUGAUCCCUUUUAAGGAUUAAAAGAUUAAGUUACUUUAGGGAUAACAGCGUUAUUUCUUUUGAGAGUUCUUAUCGAAAAAGAAGUUUGCGACCUCGAUGUUGAAUUAAAAUGUCUUUAUGGUGUAGNUGCUAUAAGAAGAAGGUCUGUUCGACCUUUAAAAU
rnacentral:rRNA from 1 species